rnacentral:lncRNA from 1 species
AGAGUAUGUAGAUAUGUUGACUUCAGAAUGAAAUUACUAUGGAAACAACAAACAAAGAGGAUAUCUUAGGGAGUGCCAAGCUGAAAUUCAUGCCUGGAUUCAUUUCAAGUCUUUUCCUUGCUGAGAGCUACAGCUGUAGGUUUUCAGGCUGAACUCUAUAGGAAUCUUCUUCCAGUGAUAACUGCAUGGAGCAUGCGUGGUCCUUGCUGUCUCUAAAAUGGUGAAGAAGGAGAGAAAGGCUGAAAUUAUUUUGUGACUAUGUCUCUUGUGUCCUUUGCAAGUUAUCUUUCCCACCUGAUGUUUUGCACAGAAAGAACUACAAGGAAGGAGGCAGAGCUGGCUCCAAGUCACCUUCUGUGGGUAGUCCUGAGGGUGUCUCUUCAACCAAAGGGUGGUUCUCAACACUGGAAAUAAAAUUCAUCUAUAAAAAACAUAUUCUGUAUCUCUGAUAUAUGUUAUAUUUG